GCUGCGCGGCGGCCGGGAGCGUGCGGAGCCGCGGCCCCAGCCCAGCCCGCCCCGGACACCAGACGCUUCAUCAAGAAUAGGGCUCGAGACAGGUAAAUGGAUUCUUGCCUGAUUUUCAAUGUUCCUGGAAGGAAAUGUAGCCAAAAUGCUGGUUUACUUCUUUGUCUUGAAACCACCAUUUUCUCCCAAACCUGAUGAUCUUAGGUAGGGGGUUAGAGAGGCUGGGGCCAGCAUCUCUCCAGGGUGAUCAGCACAGCCCUUCCCCCUGACAGAUGCUGCCCGGGCUCCUUUUGGGGAGCCAUUUUCUGUCCCUCAUUGUCUCACCGCCUUUUGUGUCUGCAAUUAUAUCCUGCCUGGGAGAGCCCAGAAAUAAUUAGAUUUCCAGCUGCUUCUGGACUUGCAGGGAGCCUUUCUCCCCCCCCUUGCCCUUCCCCCUCCCCAAGGCUGCCCACGCUGCCCAGCCGAGAGCUGCAGACAAAGAGAGGCAGCACCCAGCACUGCUGUGGCUGCACCAGAGCCGGGGCUGCGCUGAGCCUGGGCUCUGCUGGGAGACAGCAGUGCUGGCAGGGCCAAGGGCAGGGGUGUGUGGCAGCCCCCUACCAGGAGCUGGGGGGUUGGGGUGCCCAGAUGCCACAUCUCAGAGGUGUCCCUAGGGGCAUGGGCAGCAGAGCAGCAGCAUGGCAGAGGCACAGGGCAGCUCGUGGGCUGCCCUCACGUCCCUCUCUGACUGGCUUGGGCUCCCAUCCGGCCCCCUCCUUGCUUGUGGGGGCUUUUAGCCCCCGUUUAACCCAAGUGCUGCUUCGAGGUGCUCAGGCACUGUACGUGCUACCAGCCUGGUGUGGCAAGAGGCAGCUGGAGCUUGGGGUUGGCAAUCACCCCUCGCCAUGCACGAGAGGAGUUUGGUUCAGUGCUGCCCACAUAACAUUUUUUUUCUCCCCCCUGUCUCCUGAGGUGUGCUUUACUGCUGGGUGAGAGAGGCCACCCCACAGGGGUCACCCCCUGCAGACCCCUCCUGCCUGCCCCACCACAGGCACCUCCCGACCCGAUUCAGGCAGGGAAUCCAUCUGCCAGGUGCUCGAUGGCAUCUUUGGAGCCUGCCGCUGCCCCCCCCCCCAACUACGCCUGCCCCCGAUCCUGAGCCUGGCCCCGCUGGCUGGCCCCACAGCAUCUGGUUUGCAGAUACCGCCUGGACGUGCUGCCCCCGCGGGAGGGACCGUCCUGCUGGCAGCGCCUGCAACGUGCGGCCACAAUGAACCGCAGCCGAACUGCAGAGUCAUCACAGCCCCGGGACCCGCGGCCGGCUUGGCUUUUCUGCAGGAGCAGGGCAGGAGGAGGGCAGGCAGCACGGGCAGAGCUGGAGCAGCACCCACAGCAGCGCAGCUGGGACCACACGCUGUGCCCAGCGGCAUGAGCAGGACCCCAGAGACCCAGCUUAACUGCAGGGCAGGAGCAGAGGCAGAAGCAGCAGUGACAGUGACAAAGGCAGAAGCAGUGAUAGGCAGUCCCUGUCCCCAGUGCAGGCAGUUCCAGUAGCAGACAGUUUGGGCCAUUGCCACCAUUUCUGCUGUGGUGCUCCCCAUGCCUGCUGGCAGGUCUGGGUCAUCCCUGCUGGCAGGUCUGGGUCAUCCCUGCUGGGCACGGUUACAGGCACAGGAGGGGGUGGUGACAUUUCCUCAUGCACUGGGUGCCCUGGAGCAGUGGUGGGCAGCCAAGCACAGCCACACAGGGAACAAGUGCAGGUUACCCUGGGGGGGCCAGGAGCAGUGCCAGCAGCAGGGGGGUCAGAGCAGACGAUGCUGCCUUGGGGCUUUAAUCCUGCAGGUAUGGGGAGGCACAGGAAUGACAGCAGAGCUGAGGGAGGCUCUGGCUGUGUUCCUGCCUCCGUCCCUGCCAGGAUCCCAGCAGCAGGAUGCAUCCCCGCUGGCUCAGCCCUGCCCCAGGACGAUGUGCCGUGUUGCUCUCCCUUGCUGCGUUCGUUGCUUUCUUUUGCAGCUGCUAAUGACUGACCUGAGGUCUGUUCACACACAGUCCCCUGUGCGGCCUCCGUGGCAGAGCAGCCAGACAGGACGGGGGGACAUUGCAGAGCAUUUCUGUAGCUGGUGACCACAGGUAGGACCCGUGGGGGGAGGGUGGAAGUUACGGACGGUGCCAGCCCCAUCUCUCCCCUCUCCUUGCUACCCAGGAGGGCUCUGGGUAGCCUGGAGCCAGCCUUCCUCCCUAGAGUCCCAUCCCCUCAAGGGUUCUCCCCAGGGUCCAGCUGGAUGCAGGAGGUCACUGUCCCCAGGGCCACCUGCAUGAGAGGAUGUGUCUCCUGUGUGCCCAGUGGUGGGGAGGGAGUGGCCACUGCACUGCCCAGGGUCUCACAGCAUCUCUGCUCCCCAGUGCCACCAGCCCCAGGGGCACAGCCCCAGCCCCUGUCCGACCAGACAGGCUGUGCCCAGAGGAGAGCCAGGGCUCAGGGAGCAGCCACCACCACCCACACACGGAUGCCAAAGCCAGGCUGGCCCCAGCAGAGCAACCUGGUGCUGGCUGCCAUGGGCCAGAGCCACCAGCCUGGCCACUGCGGGGGACAUGGCCGAAGAGACAGCACUGGUGACACCUGAGGACACGGGUCUGCGUGUGCACACGGUUUCCUACAAGGUUCUGGGGUCCCCUUCCCUCCUGCUGCUGCAUCCCGGCCAGACCCAGUGUGGGAAUCUCCCCACAUACCCUCUCCAGCAGUGGGCAGGGCGUGGGCAGGAUGAAACACAUCUCCUCCACUGAAAGCAAUGUAGGAGGGAGAAGGGGAAGGGGAUGGGAACGGAGCUCUGAUGGCUCCCCAGGGAGACAUGAUGGCCUACAAGGGACCCUGGUUGUCCUCACUGAUCUUGCUUGUCCUGUCAGCAAAGUCCUGGUGAGUUCUGCUCUGGAAGGGCUCUGCACUGCUGGUGCCAGGUCCCAGCAGGACACUGCCUGCACUCCCUUUUGUGGGGAGGGCCAGGGGCAGUGCAUCACUCUGAGGUGCCUGUGGCAUGGCCUCUGUGGGGUCACGUGGGGCUAACAGUGGCCCCAUAAACAGGUGUGACCAUCUCCCUGCUGCCCUGUGCCAGCAAGUGUUCCCCAAGCAGGCGGGAGAGCCAGGAGUGCUGGGGUUGGGGACUGAGAGCAGACACAGCUCGUGGCAGGCAUUACAGUCCUUUAGAGUACAAAAUGGAGAAGCAUCCUCUUGGGGACCAGAAGGAGCUCAUGCUGAAGGAGGAGGUGACCCAGGGGGUGCCCUGGGUGCCCCUUCCCAGCCUGGUUUUUGGGGCAUGGUGCAGAGCUGCUGCUCCUGCUGCCCCUUGGCAAUCAGCACCGCACAGCCGCCUGCUCCUGCAGGCAGCCCCACGGGGAGGCAGCUUCUGCUGGGGAGGGAAUAAGCUAUCAGGCACCUUUCCUCUGCUCCAUGUGAUGGUUUUCUUUGGUGAACCUCCUUCUCCUUUCUCCUCUGGCUUGGUGGAGACCCAGUGCAGCCAUUGUUGCCUUGGCAGAGGCUCUGCUCUUGCAGAGCUGCCUGUACCCUUGCCCUGGGCAGCACUAGCCAUGCCUCACCCCUUCCCUCUCUCUGCUUCUUCCAGCUUCUUUAGUGCUGUAAUGCCAAGAUAGAGGCCAGCACUGCCGAGAUCGUGCAGCCCAUCUCUUGUCCCACCCACAUUGGGGGUAGGAAACACAUGUUGUGUGGGAGCACAGGCUGCUCGGGUGGUUUGUGCCUCGCCAACACGGACAGUAGGGCAGGUCCCUGUGAAGCAUUCAGUUCAAGAAGUGAGUUACACUGUGCAGGCUAAACCCUCCUCUAACACCUUCCCAAACUCGAUCUGGUGGCAAAGCCCAAAACCACCUCCUGCUCUCACUAGCGGGAGCCCCACUGCUCCCGCAAGACCCAGACGGACACUUCCCAGGAAAGUGCUCCUGGGCUGGUGGGGGUAACGACGGCUCUGCAUGCUGCCGCUCUGCUCCCGUAUUAACCUACUAACCCGCCGCCGCGAGGGCUGCCGGGGCUGCCACGGCCCCUGGCACACGGACUAACCCACUAACCAGCUCCAGCGCAUGCCCUACUAACCGCCCUGUCUCACCUCCCACUAACAGCCAGCGCUGUCCUUAAAGGGGAACAGAAAAGCUGGGUAAGUAGGAUUGGAAGUGCCGGGCGGUGCUGCAGGGGUGACGGGCAGGGCUGGCAGCCCGAGCCCCCCGCUGCAGGCAGGGGGCAGCCCGCUCCAGCCCCUGCCCCUUGCUGGCACCAGGAGGGGGUUUCCCCCCACACACCAUGCCCAGCUCUGCCUGUGGAGUCUGUUGCUGACUAGGAGCCUAAAACGGUUUUAUCAGCAGAAGCUUUUCAGUUCCUUUUUAAGCCAGUAGAUCUCUGUUACUAACACAUUCCUGAACUGAAUUAAACAAACUAACCCUUUU